AAAGGGUCUGAAUACUCAUGUAAAUAAGAGUUCCCAAUUGUCUUGAAAGCACCAUAAAUCCAGAGAAUGCCAGACUUUGAUGCCAAAGUUUGUCCACAAAGGACCGCCACGCCACCUUCCUGUUCAAGUGAGCACAGCACAACAAGUCCCUGCUGCUCCCGUGCCCUUCGAUGCUCUUCAGGAAAGUCAGCUCUUUGAUACAGAGAACUCAGAGCCUCUGAUCCCCAUCGGAGGGCGCUAUUUAUCCACCAACGGCCAGCCCAGAACCAGGAGCCCCCAGGAGAUCGCAGUACCACCGAACCCCACACGGAGGCACUAAUGGCACAGUGCAGCCCCCACAACGCCACAGACACAGAGGGACAGAGGCCUCCAUCAUCUUUGGGGAUGAAAGCAGCUCCUCUGACCACAGUGACUUGGAAAGCUCCGUCAGCCCUCUGCGGGCUGUCUGCCCACGCCUACGUUUCCCAGCAGCCCUCACUCCACAGGAAGUGCCCCCAGUCAGGAAACAAGCUCUUCUGUUCUUGAAGCGAGAUAAGCUGCAGCCCUCUCUGUCUUCGGGAAGAAGGAGUACAACAGUGCCAAGACCCGCCUCCCAGAACCAGUUCCGGUGUUGUCCAAUAGCAGGCCAGCGCUUGUUCCUGAGGAUGAAUAUCUGAUAGACGAUUGGCUGGAGGAUGACAUGUUCAGCCAAAGAAGAAGAGGAGAGCGGGGGAGGAGCAGGAUGGAAGCUGGGACUUGACUACGAUGUAAUCAGGGGCCAGGAGUCAGAACCGUCACUCAACCAAGACUGAGAUGGCUAGCAGAGUGUCGUCGUCUACCAUUAGGGGUUUCUCACUGAGGAAGACCGACAACGACCCCCGAUCUUCCACGCCGCCCCAGAACCACCACAGCACUCAGCAGGUCAGAGAGAUCAACCUAACAACCCGCUGCCUGUAGCAACACCACCUCCUACUGGCCAGCACCUUGGCAGGCACAGGGCACCUGAAGGCAGUGAAUCUGUCCCAUAAUGCCCUGGGCUCUAUGGGCUUUGAGUUGGUCCUGAAGACUCUGCCUCUCCACUGUCUCACACACCUCGAUCUGGCUGCCAUCCGCUGUGGACCCGCUGAC